ensembl:lncRNA
GAAAACUGACGCAAAUCUGUCUGCAAGGAGGAUAUAUCCUGCAACCGGCUUUGUUUACAAACUGUAGCCCACUCUUGCUAGUAUAAACUACUAGCGCACACAAAAAUGACAGCAAAUUGUAUAAACUGCUAGUAAAUCUGUCUGCCAGGAGGAUUUAUCUGGCAACCGGCUUUGUUUACAAAACUGUAGCUCAGGUUGGCUAGUAUAGACUACUAACACAAAGACAAAUGCUAACAAGUUGUAUUAGCUGCUGGUAAACUGACGCAAAUCUGUCUGCAAGGAGGCUUUAUCCAGCAACCGGUUUUGUUUACAAAACUGUAGCUCAUGUUAGGAGUGGGAUUAAUUACUACCUAACGCCAUCAAGAGCCUUCAUGUGUCUGUGAAUGAGGCUGAAUCGGCGUGUGCAACAGUCGGCAUUGACUUUCAAGCUCUUAUCUGCCGGGCAGUUUUAGAAACCUACCACAUCCCCAAAGAAACUGGAAGAAGAGGCAGAGGCUGGAGGGACUAAACUCUCAAUUCUGGCAUGUAGUGUCGGUCGGUCGCGGUGUGCGAAGGGCCGGAAAUUCACCAGAGAGACCUUUACUGAUGAAAAGCACCAAGAUGCUGUAUUUACUCCAGUUCCUGACGAAACAGCGACAGAAGGAAUGGGCAGAGGGAAAAGUGGUUUGAGAGAGGGAGAGUGUGAGACCAGAUGCUUUGGGAUGGAGCUGGGGUCCUGGAGGUCGAUGGUUGACUAGAGAUGUGAGACCCCUCAUGAAGCCAACUGGGGUUUUUCUUCUGUAAGGGGCUGAUUCACCCACCACCACUCAGAGCAUAACAGAGGCUGGGUAGAAAUGACCAGGUUUCCCAUAAUUCUUCUGACAUCUGUCAGCAUCCCUCUGGCCAUCUUCUUGAUCCCUUCUCCCAAACCAGAUGGAUCGCUUUGGGUUUCUGUCCUUCCAGCCAUCCAUUUAUUCCCUGGUUGUCUGAUCUCUUCUACAUUAGACUUGACAUGGCAGUGACAGUAUUCCUUUAAUGUGAGCUGGUUAUAAAAUAGAAAUGUGUGUUGUUUCUAUAACCAUAGCCUACUAAAUAGAAAAACUACAUAUCACUUUUGGGUUUAUUAUGUUAUUGAGUGAUAGCUGGCAAUGUGAGGAGAAUUGUAAGCCUAUAUAACAUUCCCUUUCUUGAGUACUUCUUUCUUGACCAUGUUGUCCUUACCUUACCUUGAAACACAGGUUUAAAUUUCAUAAACUGUCAGAUAAUAUAUUUCUCAAUGUGAAAUAAAAAAUUUAAACAGCUCCUGCAGAGACAUCCGGGUUGCAAUUUCUUUCCAUUAGGAUUGAUAACUACUGAAAGCUCCUCAGAUGUUAAAAUUAUGUCUUGUACCGAAGUGUGCUGAAGCCACCAUCUCUAAAUAAAG